rnacentral:rRNA from 1 species
UACGUAGGGUGCAAGCGUUGUCCGGAAUUAUUGGGCGUAAAGAGCUCGUAGGCGGUUUGUCACGUCUGCUGUGAAAACUCGGGGCUUAACUCCGGGCCUGCAGUGGGUACGGGCAGACUAGAGUGCGGUAGGGGAGACUGGAAUUCCUGGUGUAGCGGUGAAAUGCGCAGAUAUCAGGAGGAACACCGGUGGCGAAGGCGGGUCUCUGGGCAACAACUGACGCUGAGGAGCGAAAGCGUGGGGAGCGAACAGG